CCUUGGAAUACUCUCCGACAUGGGUGUGGCUGUUGUCUGCUUCGUCAUUGUCUUCAUUUCCCUUGCUGUUGAAAGACUCCUCCAUUUCCUUGGCAAGUACUUGAAGAAGAGAAAUCAGAACCUCUCUUGAGGCCUUGCAGAAGAUCAAGAAGGUAUGUAACACUCUAAAAAAUCGUGUCGGAAUUCGGUUUCGUGUCGUGCCGAUAUGCAUACAAAAUAAUGUUUUGUGUGUGGUUGUAGAGUUUGUUGCUGGGAUUCAUAUCACUGUUACUGACAGUGUUCCAAGAGAGAAUUAACAAAAUAUGUAUGUCAAAUAAUUUGGCUGAUCAAUGGCUUCCUUGUCGGAAAAAAAGAAGUAACCAAAGAACACUUCCAGACCCUAUUUCCUCCUUUCUUCCCCGGUGGUAUCGGUCGUCAUCUUCUUGCUGAGCCUCCGAUCCCGCUGUUGCCUACUGUGCUGCUAAGGAGAAAGUUCCAUUGUUAUCGACCACAGCGUUGCACCAUCUACAUAUGAUCUUUGUGCUGGCGGUCGUACAUGUGACUUUCUGUGCUC